rnacentral:rRNA from 1 species
GAUGAACGCUGGCGGCGUGCUUAACACAUGCAAGUCGAACGAUGAAGCCCAGCUUGCUGGGUGGAUUAGUGGCGAACGGGUGAGUAACACGUGAGUAACCUGCCCUUAACUCUGGGAUAAGCCUGGGAAACUGGGUCUAAUACCGGAUAGGAGCGUCCACCGCAUGGUGGGUGUUGGAAAGAUGUAUCGGUUUUGGAUGGACUCGCGGCCUAUCAGCUUGUUGGUGAGGUAAUGGCUCACCAAGGCGACGACGGGUAGCCGGCCUGAGAGGGUGACCGGCCACACUGGGACUGAGACACGGCCCAGACUCCUACGGGAGGCAGCAGUGGGGAAUAUUGCACAAUGGGCGCAAGCCUGAUGCAGCGACGCCGCGUGAGGGAUGACGGCCUUCGGGUUGUAAACCUCUUUCAGUAGGGAAGAAGCGAAAGUGACGGUACCUGCAGAAGAAGCACCGGCUAACUACGUG